rnacentral:rRNA from 1 species
UACGUAGGGUGCAAGCGUUAAUCGGAAUUACUGGGCGUAAAGCGUGCGCAGGCGGUUCUAUAAGACAGAUGUGAAAUCCCCGGGCUCAACCUGGGAACUGCAUUUGUGACUGUAGAGCUGGGGUGCGGCAGAGGGGGAUGGAAUUCCGCGUGUAGCAGUGAAAUGCGUAGAUAUGCGGAGGAACACCGAUGGCGAAGGCAAUCCCCUGGGCCUGCACUGACGCUCAUGCACGAAAGCGUGGGGAGCAAACAGG